rnacentral:rRNA from 1 species
AUUGCACGCUGGCGGCAGGCCUAACACAUGCAAGUCGAGCGCGCGGCGGACGGGUGAGUAAUGUAUGGGGACUGCCCGAUAGAGGGGGGUAACUACUUGAAAAGGUAGCUAAUACCGCAUACCAUAGGAUAACCCAUAUGGGAUUAGCUAGUAGGUGGGGUAAUGGCUCACCUAGGCGACGACCCCUAGCUGGUCUGAGAGGAUGAUCAGCCACAGUGGGACUGAGAGACGGCCCAGAAUCGUACGGAGGCAGCGGUGGGGAAUAUUGCGGAAUGGGCGGAAGCCUGAUGCAGCCAUGCCGCGUGUAUGAAGAGGGCCCUAGGGUUGUAAAGUACUUUAAGUUGGGAGGCGUUACCGACAGAAGAAGCACCGGCUAACUCCGUGCCAGCAGCCGCGGUAAUUC